rnacentral:rRNA from 1 species
GAUGAACGCUAGCUACAGGCUUAACACAUGCAAGUCGAGGGACCGGCGCACGGGUGAGUAACACGUCUCCAACCUGCCCUUUACUCGGGGAUACCCUUUCGAAAGAAAGAUUAAUACCUGAUGUAAAGCAUGGGGAUGCGUUCAAUUAGGUUGUUGGUGAGGUAACGGCUCACCAAGCCUUCCAUGGAUAGGUGUUCUGAGAGGAAGGUCCCAUACAUUGGAACUGAGACACGGUCCAAGCUCCUACGGGAGGGAGCAGUGAGGAAUAUUGGUCAAUGGGCGUUAGCAUGAACCAGCCAAGUAGAGUGAAGGAUGAAGGAUUAUGAGUCGAAAACUUCUUUUAUAUAAGAAUAUGUAUUAUAUGAAUAAGGAUCGGGUAACUCCGUGCCAGCAGCCGCGGUAAUUC